UAGGGAAUCUUCCGCAAUGGACGCAAGUCUGACGGAGCAACGCCGCGUGAGUGAAGAAGGAUUUCGGUUCGUAAAACUCUGUUGUUAGAGAAGAACAGCGCAUAGAGUAACUGUUAUGCGUGUGACGGUAUCUAACCAGAAAGCCACGGCUAACUACGUGCCAGCAGCCGCGGUAAUACGUAGGUGGCAAGCGUUGUCCGGAUUUAUUGGGCGUAAAGCGAGCGCAGGCGGUCAAUUAAGUCUGAUGUGAAAGCCCAUCGCUUAACGGUGGGUUUGCGCCGGGUACGGGCGGGCUAGAGUGCAGUAGGGGAGACUGGAAUUCCCGGUGUAACGGUGGAAUGUGUAGAUAUCGGGAAGAACACCAAUGGCGAAGGCAGGUCUCUGGGCUGUUACUGACGCUGAGAAGCGAAAGCGUGGGGAGCGAACAGG
rnacentral:rRNA from 1 species